rnacentral:misc_RNA from 1 species
UUUCCGUAGGUGAACCUGCGGAAGGAUCAUUACUGAGUGAGGGCCCCUCGGGGUCCAACCUCCCACCCGUGUUUAACGAACCUUGUUGCUUCGGCGGGCCCGCCUCACGGCCGCCGGGGGGCAUCUGCCCCCGGGCCCGCGCCCGCCGAAGCCACCUGUGAACGCUGUCUGAAGUAUGCAGUCUGAGACAAUUAAUAAAUUAAUUAAAACUUUCAACAACGGAUCUCUUGGUUCCG